UACGUAGGGUGCAAGCGUUGUCCGGAAUUAUUGGGCGUAAAGAGCUCGUAGGCGGUCUGUCGCGUCGGCUGUGAAAACCCGGGGCUCAACCCCGGGCCUGCAGUCGAUACGGGCAGACUAGAGUGCGGUAGGGGAGAGUGGAAUUCCCAGUGUAGAGGUGAAAUUCGUAGAUAUUGGGAAGAACACCGGUGGCGAAGGCGGCUCUCUGGACCGUAACUGACGCUGAGGAGCGAAAGCGUGGGGAGCAAACAGG
rnacentral:rRNA from 1 species